UACGUAGGGUGCAAGCGUUAAUCGGAAUGACUGGGCGUAAAGGGUGCGCAGGCGGCCUGUUAAGUCAGCUGUGAAAGCCCCGGGCUCAACCUGGGAACUGCGGUUGAAACUGGCGAACUAGAAUCUGGCAGAGGGGGGUGGAAUUCCACGUGUAGCAGUGAAAUGCGUAGAGAUGUGGAGGAACACCGAUGGCGAAGGCAGCCCCCUGGGCUGAGAUUGACGCUCAGGCACGAAAGCGUGGGGAGCAAACAGG
rnacentral:rRNA from 1 species